UUAUAUCGCCAUUUUGGUCUCCUCCCCCCCUCCCCUUCCUGCAACGAAGUCCGCUGAAGCGAGCAGCGAGAGGAAGAGCGCGGAGGGACAUGGAGGCGCAGGGAGCCCAGCGGAUGGCAGGAGAAACCCACGUCGGGAGGGUGGUGGCUCCAAUCGCAUCGCCAAGCACGUCGGGAUCCAAAACCAGGUACCGAUUAAACUGCCCUGCUCCUGAAUCCGGCUAGUCUUGCCGCCACCGUCGCCCGCCGAUGCGGAUCACUACGCGGCUACGCCCACUCGCGGACUGAUUCGAAUCAUAGCAAAUCCGUCCAUCACCUCUUUGAGAUCUCAGAUCCUGUUCAGACUCGGGAAUUGAUAGUCAAGCCCACCCCGUGGCCGUAUUCCGGCUCGAGUAACGUGCGAUGUGUCUUUUUAUUUUUUUCUGCUCACACUGCAGGUCUUAUUAGAAGUGGCUGCAGCAUUUCUCUGAGGGUGAAUGAGUUGCUGGAGGAAGCCGGAGCGCUAGAGCUGGAUACGAAUGAGUUCGCUGAACAUGCAAGUAGAGGUUCCAGCCUUUGAAUUGUCCUUGUUCUGGAUCUCUAUUUAGUGGAAUCGUGGUCGUUGUUGGCUACUGACUUGAGUACAUAUGAUUGUCUGCAGAAAGUUUCUGAUGAUGAUAAUAUUUUUUGAAAGGAAGAUGAUGAUAAUAUCGACUUGACAACAAGAGACAGUAUAAGAAGUUCUGCUCAGUCACAAGUGGGAACUCAGGAUUGUGAACGUGACAUCUUACUAAGAUACAAAGAUGCAUUGCGCGUAGGAAUUGCUUCCUGUAAGGAUCACUUUCGAAAGAAAUGGCCGUUCGACCACCUCGGUUUUCAGCAUAAGCUUUGCUUUGCUUGUGGUCAAUGAUUUUUGCGAAUUCUAGAUUAGUUGGAGAGACCUUGUCCAACAGUAUCGGUAAUGUUCCCGUACAAAAGAAGAGUAUUGAUAUUGUUGCAUGCAAAAGGAAUGUUGGCAGCUGUCUAUUUUGUGCCAAAAUUUGGGAUAAUAAAUUUUCGCAUGGAUUUUGGCUUGUUUGGUUUGAAGCCAAAGAGCAAGAGCCACUUGUUAGCAAAUCUUGGCAAGAUUCCAUUUCGUAUGACAUCUUAGUUCACCUUUUUGCCAAUUCAUGGGCGACCGAUUUGAUGUCUAUUUUUUUUUCGAGCAAUAGAUGUCUAAAUUUUGUAAAACGUACAAAGGGAAAUUUUGGCUACCAAACAUAUUCA